GAAUGGAUUUUAUAUUUUUGUGCAUAUAUAUACAUAAUUAAUAAUUUUCCUAAGAUAAUCCCUUCAGAAUUUUUUUAUAGUUCAUUGGGAUGUAAUUCACAUACUAUGAAAUACCUUGGUUUAAGAUAUAUAAAGUGGGGCUGGGGAUAUGGCCUAGUGGCAAGAGAGCUUGCCUCGUAUACAUGAGGCCCUGGGUUCGAUUCCCUAGCACCACAUAUA